GGGAAAGGACACCGAGCCUUGCAGCUGCCCUCAGGGAAAUCUUAAAGGGCAAGGCCAGGACUUCUCCUCGGGAUGGCAGCCGGUUCUCCAGAAGCUCCAUCUGGUCCCCUUGAUGCCAAAUCCAAAAAAUCAUCACUAAGACCGAUGUCGAGCUUACUGCUUGUUUCCCUCUUAAUCUCUAUACCCAAUAUGGAACUUGAACUCAUGACCCCAAGAUCAAGAGUCAGUCUUGCUCUUCC